rnacentral:rRNA from 1 species
AGAGUUUGAUCCUGGCUCAGGAUGAACGCUAGCGACAGGCUUAACACAUGCAAGUCGAGGGGCAGCGGUGGUGAAGGCUUGCCUUUACCAGCCGGCGACCGGCGCACGGGUGAGUAACACGUAUGCAACCUGCCUGCCACGGCCGGAUAAUCGGGAGAAAUCCCGUCUAAUACGGCAUAAUGCAUCGACGGGACAUCCUGUUGGUGCCAAAGGUUGAUUCCGGUGGCGGAUGGGCAUGCGUCGCAUUAGUUAGUUGGCGGUGUAACGGACCACCAAGACGACGAUGCGUAGGGGUUCUGAGAGGAAGGUCCCCCACACUGGUACUGAGACACGGACCAGACUCCUACGGGAGGCAGCAGUGAGGAAUAUUGGUCAAUGGGCGGGAGCCUGAACCAGCCAAGUCGCGUGAGGGAUGACGGCCCUAUGGGUUGUAAACCUCUUUUGCCGGGGAGCAAAGUGCCGCACGUGUGCGGUUUGGAGAGUACCCGGAGAAAAAGCAUCGGCUAACUCCGUGCCAGCAGCCGCGGUAAUACGGAGGAUGCGAGCGUUAUCCGGAUUUAUUGGGUUUAAAGGGUGCGUAGGCUGACGCUUAAGUCAGCGGUAAAAUUGCGGGGCUCAACCUCGUCGAGCCGUUGAAACUGGGUGCCUUGAGUGGGCGAGAAGUACGCGGAAUGCGUGGUGUAGCGGUGAAAUGCAUAGAUAUCACGCAGAACUCCGAUUGCGAAGGCAGCGUACCGGCGCCCAACUGACGCUGAAGCACGAAGGCGUGGGUAUCGAACAGGAUUAGAUACCCUGGUAGUCCACGCAGUAAACGAUGAAUGCUAGUUGUCCGGGGCGAUUGAGUUCUGGGUGACACAGCGAAAGCGUUAAGCAUUCCACCUGGGGAGUACGCCGGCAACGGUGAAACUCAAAGGAAUUGACGGGGGCCCGCACAAGCGGAGGAACAUGUGGUUUAAUUCGAUGAUACGCGAGGAACCUUACCCGGGCUCAAACGCAGGAGGGAUGUUUUUGAAAGGAGGCAGCCAGCAAUGGUCUCCUGCGAGGUGCUGCAUGGUUGUCGUCAGCUCGUGCCGUGAGGUGUCGGCUUAAGUGCCAUAACGAGCGCAACCCCUACCUACAGUUGCCAUCGCGUGAUGGCGGGCACUCUGUGGGGACUGCCUGCGCAAGCAGUGAGGAAGGCGGGGAUGACGUCAAAUCAGCACGGCCCUUACGUCCGGGGCGACACACGUGUUACAAUGGCGGGUACAGCGGGAAGCCACCCGGCGACGGGGCGCGGAACCCGAAAACCUGUCUCAGUUCGGAUUGGAGUCUGCAACCCGACUCCAUGAAGCUGGAUUCGCUAGUAAUCGCGCAUCAGCCACGGCGCGGUGAAUACGUUCCCGGGCCUUGCACUCAACGCCCGUCA